rnacentral:rRNA from 1 species
AUUCCUACGGGGGGCAGCAGUGGGGAAUAUUGGGCAAUGGGCGAAAGCCUGACCCAGCAACGCCGCGUGAAGGAAGAAGGCUUUCGGGUUGUAAACUUCUUUUGACAGGGAAGAGCAGAAGACGGUACCUGUCGAAUAAGCCACGGCUAACUACGUGCCAGCAGCCGCGGUAAUACGGAGGAUGCGAGCGUUAUCCGGAUUUAUUGGGUUUAAAGGGUGCGCAGGCGGAUUUUUAAGUCAGCGGUAAAAUGUCCGGGCUCAACCCGGGCCGGCCGUUGAAACUGGGGAUCUUGAGUGGGCGAGAA